UACGGGGGGGGCAAGCGUUGUUCGGAAUUACUGGGCGUAAAGGGCUCGUAGGCGGCCAACUAAGUCAGACGUGAAAUCCCUCGGCUUAACCGGGGAACUGCGUCUGAUACUGGAUGGCUUGAGGUUGGGAGAGGGAUGCGGAAUUCCCGGUGUAGUGGUGAAAUGCGUAGAUAUCGGGAGGAACACCAGUGGCGAAGGCGACUACCUGGCCUGUUCUUGACGCUGAGGCGCGAAAGCUAGGGGAGCAAACGGGG
rnacentral:rRNA from 1 species